rnacentral:rRNA from 1 species
UGGGGAAUAUUGGACAAUGGGCGCAAGCCUGAUCCAGCCAUGCCGCGUGGAUGAUGAAGGCCUUAGGGUUGUAAAAUCCUUUCGCCGAGGACGAUAAUGACGGUACUCGGAGAAGAAGCUCCGGCUAACUUCGUGCCAGCAGCCGCGGUAAUACGAAGGGGGCUAGCGUUGUUCGGAUUUACUGGGCGUAAAGCGCGUGUAGGCGGGUCGUUAAGUUGGGGGUGAAAUCCCGAGGCUCAACCUCGGAACUGCCUUCAAAACUGGCGACCUGGACCUAAGUAGAGGCAAGUGGAAUUGCGAGUGUAGAGGUGAAAUUCGUAGAUAUUCGCAGGAACACCAGUGGCGAAGGCGACUUGCUGGACUUAUGGUGACGCUGAGACGCGAAAGCGUGGGGAGCAAACAGGAUUAGAUACCCCCGUAGUCCCUGAGCGGGCUGGCAAGGCGCAU